UACGGGGGGGGCAAGCGUUGUUCGGAAUUACUGGGCGUAAAGGGCUCGUAGGUGGCCAACUAAGUCGGACGUGAAAUCCCUCGGCUUAACCGGGGAACUGCGUCCGAUACUGGUUGGCUUGAGUUUGGGAGAGGGAUGCGGAAUUCCAGGUGUAGCGGUGAAAUGCGUAGAUAUCCGGAGGAGCACCGGUGGCGAAGGCGGCGUUCUGGACCACUACUGACGCUGAGGAACGAAAGCUAGGGGAGCAAACAGG
rnacentral:rRNA from 1 species